rnacentral:lncRNA from 1 species
UAGACGGCUCAUGCUGCCGCAUGGGCCGGGCAGUUUUUUGGACCUCGCACAUAGACGGCUUAGGCGGCCGCAUGGGCCGGGCAGUUUUUGGAUCUCGCGCAUCAAUUGCUUAAGGUUACUAACGGUUCCGAUAUUCUUCUCCCCUGCUUGGAGCCGGUAAAGACCGACAGCCGACAGCUAUAGGCUGGAGGGGCCAGUAACAUCCCACACAAGCUGCUUAUGAGGCCGGAUGUGGCCAGCAAUUUUGGACACUCGCUGUGCUUAGGCUGGAUGUGGCCAGAAGUCUCUUGUGAGAAGAGCUCUAAUACUGCCCGUCUUCACUGUGGUUAUGGCCGGAUGUGGCUCGCAGUUGUGAUUACUUUGGCAGUCGACAGGGAUGCACCCCACCCCCGCAAAGGGUACAUACUCAAGUGACUGCGGUAGGGUAAAGAGGCUACAAGACCCAUUAAAUCGGUCUGUCGUGCCCUACUGUGUGGGCAGGCUUAAAUCACCUUUGGUGCUAAAGCUGCGCGGG